rnacentral:rRNA from 1 species
CAGUCGACGGCAGCACGGACUUCGGUCUGGUGGCGAGUGGCGAACGGGUGAGUAAUAUAUCGGAACGUGCCCAGUCGUGGGGGAUAACGUAGUGAAAAUUACGCUAAUACCGCAUACGAUCUAAGGAUGAAAGCGGGGGAUCGCAAGACCUCGCGCGAUUGGAGCGGCCGAUAUCAGAUUAGGUAGUUGGUGAGGUAAAGGCUCACCAAGCCAACGAUCUGUAGCUGGUCUGAGAGGACGACCAGCCACACUGGAACUGAGACACGGUCCAGACUCCUACGGGAGGCAGCAGUGGGGAAUUUUGGACAAUGGACGCAAGUCUGAUCCAGCCAUUCCGCGUGCAGGACGAAGGCCUUCGGGUUGUAAACUGCUUUUGUACAGAACGAAAAGGCCUCUAUUAAUACUAGGGGCUCAUGACGGUACUGUAAGAAUAAGCACCGGCUAACUACGUGCCAGCAGCCGCGGUAAUACGUAGGGUGCAAGCGUUAAUCGGAAUUACUGGGCGUAAAGCGUGCGCAGGCGGUUAUAUAAGACAGAUGUGAAAUCCCCGGGCUCAACCUGGGAACUGCAUUUGUGACUGUAUAGCUGGAGUGCGGCGGAGGGGGAUGGAAUUCCGCGUGUAGCAGUGAAAUGCGUAGAUAUGCGGAGGAACACCGAUGGCGAAGGCAAUCCCCUGGGCCUGCACUGACGCUCAUGCACGAAAGCGUGGGGAGCAAACAGGAUUAGAU